rnacentral:misc_RNA from 1 species
AAGUCGUAACAAGGUUUCCGUAGGUGAACCUGCGGAAGGAUCAUUAACAUAUUCCAAAACUCGUCUUGACGAGGGGAAAGCUUACCACUACCCUACGAAAGGAAGGUGUGAUGAGUGGAACUCUUGUCGUUACAGACAAAACAUACAUUUACCACGUUAUAAUACAACCAAUGGAGAACCAAGUGCUUAUGCUCUUCUGACAUACAUACACACUGUGUUGUUUGUUAUACUAGUAUAUACGCUAUGUAAAAAACGUUGAAACAACUUUUAACAAUGGAUCUCUUGGCUCUU